AUCCUUCUCUGGUGUUCCUUGUUUUAGCUGACGACACUCGAGAGCGCCAAUUUUCCUAGAUUCGAUUUUGUGGUUUGGAAGUGUGGUUUUUGGAAUCCAGAGUAGUCGCCUCGUUCUAGUAUCCAAUUGCUCCAGCACCAAUUGGUGAAAAGACCAUCGUUCUUCUACUCAGUCGCAUUUGAAGCUUUGUCAAAAACCAGACACAAUUGGAGACACAGGUUCUUUUAUCAAGGCCUUGACUGGAAUGGCAUAUUUUCAGAUAUGACCACAUUGCUUUGAGGAAAUGAGGUUGAUGUUGUAGAGCUGAUAAAACCCCCACGGAAAGGCCAGCCUACCUCUGCACAUACACACACACACACACACACAGAUAGUUAACAAAUUUUUUUUUUGUUUGUUUUUUGUUUUUUUUUUUUUGAGACAGAGUCUUGCUUUGUUGCCCAAGCUGGAGUGCAGUGGCAUGACCUCAGAAUUCACUGCAACCUCUGACUCCCAGGUUCAAGAGAUUCUCCUGCCUCAGCCUCCCAAGUAGCUGGGAUUAUAGGUGUAUGCCAUCACUACCAGCUACUUUUUGUAUUUUUAGUAGAGAUGGGUUUUCACCGUGUUGGCCAGGCUGGUCUCAAACUCCUGAUCUUGUGAUCCACCCACCUUGGCCUCCCAAAGUGCUGGAUUACAGACAUGAGCCACUGCGCCCAGCCUACAACAAAUAUGCUAUUUUUAAGGGGACAGCUAACAUUUUGUUCCACAUUCAUCAUUUAUUAGUAUGAAUGACAGAAAGCAAAUGUGACUUUUCUCUUUGAACAGUAACUAGUAACUGGGUCAAGGCUGGAAUCUAAUAUACUGUUUAGCUGAUUGUUCUUUUGUAUGUUUCUUGUCAAAUGACUGCAACACAGUGAAGAAAAAGAUUAUACAGCUUUUGUUAAUAUAUGUUAGAGUUGGCUGCCUUAAGACUUCAAUAAAUACUGAAGAGAU
rnacentral:antisense_RNA from 1 species